rnacentral:lncRNA from 1 species
GAGCUGGGACCUUUAAGAGGUGAUUAGGCCAUGAGUGCUCCACCUUCAUGGGCGAGGGUAAUGCCUUUUAAAAGGGGCUUUCAGGAGUGGAUUCUCUUUUCAAUUUCAGUCCUCUGUCGUGUAAGGAAGAUUGUUUCUCCCUUCUGAAAGACGCAGCCCUUAAGGCACCAUCUUACAAGUGGAGACCCGGCUCUUACCAGACACCAAACCUGCUGGCACCUUGGUGUUGGACUUCCCAGCUUCCAGAACUACAGGAAAUAAACUUCUGGUUUUUAUAAAUUACCCAGUCCCUGGUAUUUGGUUACAGAAGCACAAAAUGGACAUAAUGGACAAACAACAGGUGAGAUGACAAUUGCAAUUCUCUGGGGAAGUAAAGUCACAGGAUCACAAGCCCAUAUCUCAGACCUCUUUGCACUCAUUUGCUGUUGUGAACAUGAACCUGAGCCCAUUGUCCCAACAGCAGAAGGAAAUCAGGCUUUUGGCAUCUCCAUUCAUUCCGGAACAGCCAGUCAGCCCUCUCUGCUGUGUCCCAGAGCACCAGGAAGUGAAUAACAGUCCUAGAGUGAGACACGGAGGAUACAGCCAAGUAUCAGAGGUGAGUGGCCAGGCAGCCAGUGGCUCUUCUGUCUCAUCCCCUCUGCAUGAGCAUUGUGGGGAGGAGGUCUGGGUGAUAGCAACCAUUUGGAGUCUCCUCCCUCCUCACUGGAGAAUAGCAAGACCUGAGGUCUGCAAGGACCCCACCAUCUUGCCUUCGUUGGGGGUCCCUCAGCAGCCAACCGCCUAUGCUCCGGGUCUUCAGUUCCGAUUUUGAUGAUUCCUGGGGAUGCUAUAGAGUUGUCACCUGCCUUGACAGUAAGUGUGUGGGAGCUGGGUUUACUCUGGCAGAAAGAGAAGUACAGGGACUCCUCAGGAGCAAAGCCUCUUCAGGAAAGAAGAGUUGACCUCAGGCGUCUCUUUCAGGGGUGCUGGCU